UACACUCCUGCGGGAGGCAGCAGUGGGGAAUAUUGCACAAUGGGCGCAAGCCUGAUGCAGCCAUGCCGCGUGUAUGAAGAAGGCCUUCGGGUUGUAAAGUACUUUCAGCGGGGAGGAAGGCGAUAAGGUUAAUAACCUUGUCGAUUGACGUUACCCGCAGAAGAAGCACCGGCUAACUCCGUGCCAGCAGCCGCGGUAAUACGGAGGGUGCAAGCGUUAAUCGGAAUUACUGGGCGUAAAGCGCACGCAGGCGGUCUGUCAAGUCGGAUGUGAAAUCCCCGGGCUCAACCUGGGAACUGCAUUGGAAACUGGCAGGCUAGAGUCGUGUAGAGGGGGGUAGAAUUCCAGGUGUAGCGGUGAAAUGCGUAGAGAUCUGGAGGAAUACCGGUGGCGAAGGCGGCCCCCUGGACAAAGACUGACGCUCAGGUGCGAAAGCGUGGGGAGCAAACAGGAUUAGAUACCCGUGUAGUCCC
rnacentral:rRNA from 1 species